CAUAUACUUUGAAAACUAGAGGGACGUGUGGCCUGGUUGUGGCAACGCAUAUCAAUCGAUAGUGAUUGUUAGGCAACGUUGACCCAAGUCGGUAACUGGAUGGGUUGGGAUUUCGUUUCCUCCGCGGCUCGGAGAGCACG